CAGCGGCGACAGCGGGGACGGGAGGGACAGGAGGGACAGAGCGACUGAAGGGACAGAGCGACAGCGGCGACAGCGGCGACAGCCAUGGGACCCACGGCGCCGCUCCCGGCGCUCGCCGUUGUCACCGCUCUGCUGGCGGCCACCGCCAUGGCCCAAGGUCCCUCGGGUGCCCUGGAGGUGGCGCUGUCGGGGGAGGGACAGACCCCAGGUGAUCUCAGCACCGCGGCGCACCUGGG